rnacentral:rRNA from 1 species
GAUGAACGCUGGCGGCGUGCCUAAUACAUGCAAGUCGAGCGAACAGACGAGGAGCUUGCUCCUCUGACGUUAGCGGCGGACGGGUGAGUAACACGUGGAUAACCUACCUAUAAGACUGGGAUAACUUCGGGAAACCGGAGCUAAUACCGGAUAAUAUAUUGAACCGCAUGGUUCAAUAGUGAAAGACGGUUUUGCUGUCACUUAUAGAUGGAUCCGCGCCGCAUUAGCUAGUUGGUAAGGUAACGGCUUACCAAGGCAACGAUGCGUAGCCGACCUGAGAGGGUGAUCGGCCACACUGGAACUGAGACACGGUCCAGACUCCUACGGGAGGCAGCAGUAGGGAGUCUUCCGCAAUGGGCGAAAGCCUGACGGAGCAACGCCGCGUGAGUGAUGAAGGUCUUCGGAUCGUAAAACUCUGUUAUUAGGGGAGAACAAAUGUGUAAGUAACUAUGCACGUCUUGACGGUACCGAAUCAGAAAGCCACGGCUAACUACGU